CUUCAGUUUUCCCAUAUUUUGCACUUCCUACUUUUCAGUCCAUGACUUCAAGAAGAAUAUUUUCAGCAUGCUGUUUUCAAAACAUCUCAGGCGCUGUUGUUGUUUUCCCAUUCCUGUAUCAAGUUCUUCUGUUACAUGGGUUUAUUCCUUUCAUACAACAACUGGUAUCAAUUACCAUAAAGUUUUUUUGACUGCAAACUGUGCUUGUUUGUGUUUGAAUUGUUUAAUAAGUUAAAUAAUGCUCAACCUUCUGAAAAUAGAAAUCUAACCUAGGUAGGCACAUCCCUCCUCCUCCUCCUGCUUUGUUCUACUUGCUUCUUUGCAAGCUGAUACUGCCCCAUUAUUUUGUAGUGUAAUGCCUAUGUUCUAGGAAACUUGUAUUUCUGUUCCCAUAACCUCAGUCAAACAACCACAAACCCUCUCAGAUGUUGAGUGGAGAGGGCUACUCUGAAAGGCUAAUGUUGGCCAGUCUUUCCAGGUCCUCCCCAGAGACCACAGAGACAGGCUCUUUGGGAGCAGAUUCAGUGAUGACAACUGGGAAGAGUUAUAAUCCUCUGCCUCCUGCUGGAUAUUUUCUUCAUCGGAAUCUGUAAAGUGUCUUCAGUGUGAAGGAACUAAAGAGUUUACAUGGAUUAUUCUUCUAUAAUACAGGUCUGUGGACUCCUACCACCUUGGGCACUGCCCAUCUCGACCCCGGCUCUGACUGCCCUUAGUGCUGAUUUACAGCCGCCGGUGGCUUGAUUGCUCUUCUUGCUCCCAGCACACUGCCCCUUGGGACAUGCGAUGACAGAGAGCUCCCUCAACUGCCACCAACUUCUUGGAAAGGGAAAUAAGGAGACCUUUCUGGGUUACCCUCUGCCUGGAUGGAAGUGGGUCCCAUGUUCCCCCUCCCUUGGCAUGGUGCCUCAUCCUGCCCCUCCAACAUCUGAAGGACACAUUUCCUUCAAGUAUUUGGUCCAGAAAUAUGGAGUAAGCACUGUAACUCAAAUAGAAAAUUGUGUGUAUC
rnacentral:lncRNA from 1 species